GAAGAAAGAGGGAGGAGGGAGGAAAAUAGGAAAGUCGAACGGAAAGGUGCUGCUUUUGUGGGGUGUUUGAGUGGCGAAAGGGUGAGUAAAACGUGAGUAAAGUGAGUUUGACUUUGGGAUAACUUCAGGAAAAUGGGGCUAAUACCGGAUAGGAGCUCCUGCUGCAUGGUGGGGGUUGGAAAGUUUCGGCGGUUGGGGAUGGACUCGCGGCUUAUCAGCUUGUUGGUGGGGUAGUGGCUUACCAAGGCUUUGAUGGGUAGCCGGCCUGAGAGGGUGACCGGCCACAUUGGGACUGAGAUACGGCCCAGACUCCUACGGGAGGCAGCAUUGGGGAAUAUUGCACAAUGGGCGGAAGCCUGAUGCAGCAACGCCGCGUACCAGAUUCCUUCCUUCGAUUUGUAAACCGCUUUCGCCUUUGACCAAGCGUGAGUGACGGUAAUGGGUAAAGAAGCACCAACUCACUACGUC
rnacentral:rRNA from 1 species